UGAGCGAUUCAGUCAAAUGAAGGGCUGAGGCUGAGGCGAGUGAAUCACACAAAUCGCAAAUUUUCGCACAUCGUGUCAUCGUGUGUUGAUUGAAUAAUGAGCAUAAUACAAAUUGUAUUUUAUUUUUUCAUCUGCACUAAUUGUAGAUAAUGUUGCGCAAGUUGCUGCAUGUGAUAUAUAUUUAGGCUGAUCUCUAGCUAUCGAACAUCAAUUUUGGAAUUGUGAAUCGUGUGCUACAUAGUCACUUCAAGUUCAAGUUCAAGACUUCAACACAAUAGUUUGCUAUCCAAUCCAAGAUUCGAUUCUCAAAAAAACAAGAACUUGGGACAAUCUAAAGCUGAAGACAAUGGGGGUUUUGACUCGUCUGGUAAAUGGGGUCAAGCGACUACAUCUUAACUAUAACAUGAUCACAUCUCUCUACAUGAUGGAACCAAUGGAACGUACGGUUGUCAACUGUAUCGUAAUUCUGGUGUUGUCCCUGAUGAUGUACUCUUCAUGGGUCUACCUCCCCCACUACACGUUAAAACUUCUUGUCUUUUCGGGAAUCUUGUCUCGAGGGUAUGACAACUCAAUCCUGGAUGAGGUCGAGGACAAUUCCAUUCACACUUGAUAUCAACCUCAUAUGAUUAUUUUGAUUCCAAAAAAUUGUACAUUCUCUAGGUUUAAACGUACGAAAAUAAGUGUUAUCCAAAUCAAAUAAUUAUAACUCUUAAUAUUCGUACAUACAAGUUAAAACAAACGUAUUAAUAAAACAGAAGCUCGUCCACACAAAAACACAUGAUGCAUAAUAAAAUAAUAAUACUACCGGAUCAAU